GAAACCCUGGGCCGCUGAAGCGGAGUGCACGAACUUAACCACUAGGCCAUGGGGCUGGCUCCUGGGGAGGUUUUAAGAUUGCAUUUAUAAUCAGAAUCUCUGGGAGUGGGGUCCAGGCACUUUAUUUAUAAAAAAUUUCCCAAGUGACUCUAAUGUGCAGCCAGGUUUGGGAUCACUGGCCUAGAGUCACCAAAUUUUAAAGAGAAGUCCUAUUGUGCACAGUACACAGCUCCAGCUUCUCCUUGGAUGUUCUGUGACAGACAUAUUGUGAAUAUCAUUAAAAACAAACAAAUUUCAAAAAAAAUGUGUUCAUUGAUGCAUUUCCAAAGGUACAUUAACCAUCACAGUGUUCUCAAAUGUAAUAACUAUCCACAAUAGGCCCCACUCAAAAUCUCACAACAUUAGAUGGAACCUGUGUUUAAUGAACCACACUGGGUUGAAUGCCAACUGCUUCUUGUAACAAAUCCUACUACUGUUAUGGCACCCAUGGUCUGAAGACUUUCCUAAACAUCUGCCUAUGGGCUUCUCAUGGUAUUUUGAUCUCAAGAUUCGUUCUUUCCUCAUCAAGGGUUGGGAGUGAAGCAUAAAAGUGCAAAAACAAGUAAGGAUUGAGGCGUGAAUUAUAAAAGUGCAAAACAACAACAUGAGGACGAUUUGGAAAAUGAGGAAAAUGACUUGUGCAACAUUACCCAGCUAUGUAGUGGUAGAACUACAAUUAAGUCUCUGGUUUGCUGUCUCCUAUUCCAAUGAGUUUCUCACUUCAUGUUAAUAGCUACCAAUUGUUGAAUGUCAAUUAUAUUAUAGGUAUUAUGUUAGGAAUUUUAUAUGUUCAACAAAUGUCCCUACUUUGUGUUCCUACAAGUAAAUACUAAGUGCUGGAUUCUGGGUAUACAGUAAUGGAUCAAGAUAGAAUUCUUAUCUUCACAGAGUUUUAAAGAAAUAAACAAGGCCUGAAAACUAUGUCUAAGGAGUAAUUUUAGGUAUGAUUAUUAGCACAUGAAACCGACUAUAUGUAAAUUGAUCAGAAUUCUACUACAUUUUUGACAGGACUAUAUUGCCAAAUAAAUCUUGAUUUCAGUCUUAAAAUCCUUUGACUAUUUAAAUCUUAAAAUAAUGUUUGGGACCCCAAACUCACACAAGCAGGAAGCAGGCUGUGAAUACUGCAUAACACCCAAGAGGGUAAUAUUCUCCAACAGGCUGUUUCAGAUGUGGUCAUGGAGGAUAACGCACCCAGAAGAAACUCUCAAAAGAACAAUGGACAACAGAAUUCCUCCCAAAAUGGAGAUCCCAUGGCUAAUCACGAAACUUCCUUCAUUGACAAAUAGCUUCCCAGCAUGAAUUCAUCGUUGCAAUGAACCAGCGAAUGCUGUGUUUCCUCUUCAUCCCUUUUCUGAAUGGUACACAGCUAAACUGCAUAUUCCAUCGUCCCUUGCAGUUAGAUGUAGCCAACUAAUGAGUUCUCACCAAUAGAACAUGAGUAGAAGUGCUGUGUACUGCUUUUGAAAAAGACUUUCAAGAGGGAUGUGAACCUCCUCCACAUUCUCUUUCCAUUUUCUGUUGGUAGGAUGAAGAACUGCCUUAGGAAUGGCAGAGCCACAGUUUCUUCCAUCAAGACAUGGAUUUUAUUUCCAUUCCCUUGGAUCUGGGCUGGCCUUCUAACUUGCUUUGGCCAACAGAAUGUGGCAGAAGUGACAGUGUGUCUGUUGCAAGUUUAAGUCCCAAGAGGCCUGUGAGUUUCCACUCUUUCUCUUGGAUCCCUGAGAUUGUCAUGUGAACAAGCCCUGUGAAAACAGAGUCAUUUGAGAAGAAGCGCCACACGAGGCAAACAAUGACACCAGGCAGAAAGGACUCGGGUGGAUCAAUACACUUGGACAGAUCCAGGAGGUGUGGUCUGGUUGGAGCGAUUCCUUUCAAAAAUCAUAUUAACUUUUCAAUGAUUCAUACUCAAUGCUUAGUACUUGACAGCUAGAAGAUAAUAAAUUAUCCACAAAUUUUCAAUGAGUCAUAAAGUCAUCGUCUUGGACUUUUCUUUCCUAUUUUAUUAUAGCAAGAAUAAAACUGUGAAUUCCUGAGGUUGCUGUCUUUAUGGCAUGCUUGUUAUAAAUCAUUUGGAACAUUUUAAUAUUCCUGUAUACCACCUUAGUGUUCUUUUAGUGCAAUGUUAGAACUCAAUGUUGUAAAAGAUACAUAAAUAUUUUUUAAAACUCCUACUUAUUCUUUUUGAUUUCAUCUUAAAUAUUGUAUUGUUCUGGAAGCAUUUUCUGGCCUCCUAAAUUAGGUUGUAUUCCCUUGCUGUGAAAAUUUAUACUUUCCUAUAGUAAUCCUCAUCACAUUUUAUUGUUGAUCCUUAUUUAAUUGUCUAUAUUUCCUUCUGGUCCAUCUUCUAGCCUAUGAUAGUCACAACCUUAUCUCCCUCAAGGCCUGGCACAUAGUUGGUGAUCAAGUUAUUUGUGGAACAAACAAGAUGCUUUUGCUUUUAACCACUGACUCUUCUUAAAAUUCCUUUAAUAAAUUUUAUUUAUACACUGUCCAUUCCAGAAAAGGAUGUGAGGUGGUCCUGAAAACUCUAGAGCACUGCAAAAUUGUUACUCUUUUAUCUAUCUCCAUCAUCUUGUCCUCUUUCCUUUCUUCUUUCUCCUUUAAGAGCAAGAAGUGUUGAUUUAAAAGAAUGGGCUUCACUUUUACUAGCUAUGUAGUCUUGAGCAAGUUACAUAAUCUUUAUCAUCUUAAGUCUUCUGAUACAUAAAAUUGGAAUAGUGGGAGGAUUAAAUGGAACAGUGUAUGUACAGAUCUUGCCCAUGAUAGAUACUCAAUAAACAUUACUUCUCUUACUCUGGGCAGAAGAAAAAAAUGGACUUAAAAAAAGAAAUCAUAUCCUAAACUCAUUGUUAUGUCAUGGCUCCUAUCCCAAAAAAACUAGAUAUGGCAGCUGCUAGGGUUCAGGACUUUUGCUGCGUACUUAAAUAAGCCUACCUGAUAAUCUGCUCUGCUCUCGUGGUAGGAAAUCUCAUGAGAUGGCGUCCUCUGUUAGCUCACAGCCUCGCUACCCAAGAGCAACUCUACUUUAGUACUCAGAAUUGCAGCAAAUACCAGAGCUGGAGUGUGACAGUGUGGGGAGGAGUGUGUGUUUAGUGGUGGUGUUUCAACCUUUCUACACCUUCAUUUCUUUAUCUGUAAGAUGGGGCUAAUAAAAGCACCACUUCCUGAGGCUAAUGUGAGUGUAAAUGAAUUAUGUAUGUGUGUGUUUGGCACAACACUGGGCACACAGCAAAGGCUCAGUAAAGAUCAACUUUUAAAAAGCAAAGUACAUGAUAAAAAUUUAUUCUUUGCUUUCUGAUAUGGAAUUUAUUUUUCAAAGUUCUCACGCAUUCACUAAUGGAAAAGGAAAAAUACCUCUCUAGUCAAUGAAUUCUAAAACUGGUUUUGGUCACCGGGAUAAAUCACUGAACACACAGUAAGAUACAAUUAUGAGUGCUAGCUGUGAAAUAACAGUAAACAAUUGUUUUGGUCAUUCUGAAUAUAGAGGUUUUACAGGAAUUGAUAGUAAUGUAUGUACUACCACUAAUGAAAGAAUACAACUUUUAAUAACAAGUAUCUUACUGGUAUUUCUGAAAAAACUACCCAGUUUAGACUAUCAUGAUAUGUGUAUUCCCAAAGAGCAUAAUUAUUUACCUUUACACAUGGUUGAAAAUACUUAAGGAAUAUCCUUUUCCUGCUUUUAGAUAAUACUAGCUACUGAACCAUCUUGCCUAGUCCUUUUUUUUUUUAAGUACUUCUAUGCACUAUUGGAUUAGCAAUGCUAUGUGGCUUGAUAGGCUCUUUUAAAAAUGACAUUGGCCUCUCUCUUCUCUCAGGAACCAGAGAAUGGAACAGCCUGUCAUCUUUCAUAAACAAUCCUUAGACAAUUUUUCCUCUCAUAGCUAGAGAGAGAGAAUAGUUUCACAUUAGAAGAUUAUUUUGAAUAGACAGUUGUCUCUCCCAACAUUAGAAAAGUUACGUUCAUUUUUCUUGACUGCAGUCUAGUUUUCCCUAAAUGCAAACCUGAGAGACAAUACAGAUGCAAGAUCUCAAGGUCAAAAUCUCAUGCCUAUGGGACUGCACAGACCUGCUAUUUCUGGCAUGUGUGCUCAACAACCCUCUCUCCUUUCGGUUUCCCACCACAAUUUACUACUUUAAAAUUCUGGGUGCCUGAUGAAUUAACAGACCUCAUCCCUGUCUUUGGAAGAUUAAAAGCACUGAACACAUAGUGAAAAUACAGUUUAUAUCUGGGGAAGGUGUCCAUAUCAAUAGGAUUAUAAUCAUAACAGCCAUUAUUAAACUUUUCUGAGAAACCCCCAAAGCCUCCUCUCUGAAGACUGCCUUUGUGCUAUGCAUUUGGGCAGAUGGACAGGAGCUGACACACAGGUGAGUCUCACCUUCUAUCAUGUAGGCAGUGCUGGUGGAGUAAGUGCACAGUCCAGAGAUGAAACAUAUUUCCUAUCUUUGUUUUGUGUAAAUGUGACUGAUUCUACAAGAGCUAUACACUAUAUAAUACAUUUAAGGUAUUAAGUGAUCUUCUGUGGGUACCAAAGAUUUUAAAAUCCAAAUUUCCACUAAAUGUAAAUGCAAACAUCCAAUUUCCCAAAACAGAAUGUGCUAUAUCUGCCUCAAAAUAAAGUAAAAUAACAAAGCAUUGUAUGUGUUGCUUUUCAAUUAGUUAAUUUAUUCAGUAACUUCUUUUUGUUGUAUUUAAUGUACCUAUUAGGAUCACUUUGUCCAUUUUCUUUCAAUGUCCGUAAAUUGCCACCACUCUGGAUGGACACUUUUCCCUAUAUGCAUAAAUGUUCCCUUUACUCUAAAUAUCAAUUUUUUAUUUAAAUGAUUUCUGAGCAUCUACAAUGUGCUUGGCCCUGGGCUAAAUGCUGAAAAUAUAAUAACGAAUAGGACCAAGUUUCAGCUCGGGUGUAGCACUCAGCCUAGCAGGGUUUAUAAAAUGUGUCUAUGAUACAAAUUUGGAUGUUGCCCUUCUCUGCCAUUCAUAUUCAUUCAGUUAUUCCAGAACGCUUUGAUUUAUAAAAUUUUCAUUUUGCACAUAUUACAUGCCAAAUGUUUUCACAGAAGCUCUGUGAAGUAGGCAUUAGGUUUCCACAAAUCACAAUUUAGAAGAUACUACUUGGCAUACAAAAUGAAAUAUGCCCACUAUUACUUUUUGAAAUUUUCAGUAAGAUAGUAACUAAUUUUGAAGAAAUUAAAUCAUGUUUCAAAGUACCUGUUUCUUAACAUUUUGAUCUAGAAAAAA